rnacentral:rRNA from 1 species
GAUGAACGCUGGCGGCGUGCCUAACACAUGCAAGUCGAGCGCGAUUAAGUGGAGUGGAGACUUCGGUCAAAGUGAAACUUAUGAAAGCGGCGGACGGGUGAGUAACGCGUGGGCAACCUGCCCCAUACAGAGGGAUAGCCACUGGAAACGGUGAUUAAUACCUCAUAAGUCAGUAGUAUCGCAUGAUGUAGCUGACAAAGAUUUAUCGGUAUGGGAUGGGCCCGCGUCUGAUUAGCUAGUUGGUGAGGUAACGGCUCACCAAGGCGACGAUCAGUAGCCGACCUGAGAGGGUGAUCGGCCACACUGGAACUGAGACACGGUCCAGACUCCUACGGGAGGCAGCAGUGGGGAAUAUUGCACAAUGGGCGCAAGCCUGAUGCAGCAACGCCGCGUGAGUGAUGAAGGCCUCGGUUGUAAACGUAC